CGACGAGUUUGAUCCUGGCUCAGGAUGAACGCUAGCGGCAGGCCUAACACAUGCAAGUCGAGGGGUAGAGUUCUUCGGGACUUGAGACCGGCGCACGGGUGCGUAACGCGUAUGCAAUCUACCUUAUACAGGGGAAUAGCCCAGAGAAAUUUGGAUUAAUGCCCCAUAGUGUUAUCGAAUCGCAUGGUUUGAUAACUAAAGUUCCAACGGUAUAAGAUGAGCAUGCGUCCCAUUAGUUAGUUGGUAAGGUAACGGCUUACCAAGCAAUGAUGGGUAGGGGUCCUGAGAGGGAGAUCCCCCGACACUGGUACUGAGACACGGGACCAGACUCCGUACGGGAGCAGCAGUGAGAAUAUUGGUCAAUGGGCGCAAGCCUGAA
rnacentral:rRNA from 1 species